rnacentral:rRNA from 1 species
AUACAGAGGGUGCGAGCGUUAAUCGGAGUUACUGGGCGUAAAGGGCGCGUAGGCGGUAAGAUGUGUGUGAUGUGAAAGCCCCGGGCUUAACCUGGGAAGUGCAUCGCAAACUAUCUAACUGGAGUAUAUGAGAGGGUGGCGGAAUUUCCGGUGUAGCGGUGAAAUGCGUAGAGAUCGGAAGGAACGUCAAUGGCGAAGGCAGCCACCUGGCAUAAUACUGACGCUGAGGCGCGAAAGCGUGGGGAGCGAACAGGA